UGUCUUGCAGACAUGAGAGAACAACAGGAGAUAUUGUCGACCCUAGAGAAGGAACGAGACCUCCGAAAACAACACCUUCAUUCACUGUACUCUGCUCUUCCUCAUGAGUGGCUCACCAAAAUGCACUACCUGCACUUACACCAGGAUGUCCUGUCCUGUACGACGAUAUAGAGCUGCCAGAGGCAAUCAAAGAAAUUGUGAGGCCUGGACCUUUCCACAAACAGACGGCUAAGCCAGAGAUUUCUUCAG